rnacentral:rRNA from 1 species
AGAGUUUGAUCMUGGCUCAGAUUGAACGCUGGCGGCGUGCUUAACACAUGCAAGUCGAACGAGAAAGGGACUUCGGUCCUGAGUAGAGUGGCGCACGGGUGAGUAACGCGUAGGUAAUCUACCUCUGCAUCUGGGAUAACACUUCGAAAGGGGUGCUAAUACCGGAUACACUUAUGGACCGCAAGGUCUAUAAGGAAAGGAGACCUCUCCUUGGAAGUUUCUGUGUAGAGAUGAGCCUGCGUCCCAUUAGCUAGUUGGCAGGGUAAAGGCCUACCAAGGCGACGAUGGGUAGCGGGUCUGAGAGGAUGAUCCGCCACACUGGAACUGAAACACGGACCAGACUCCUACGGGAGGCAGCAGUGAGGAAUAUUGGACAAUGGGCGCAAGCCUGAUCCAGCGACGCCGCGUGAGUGAUGAAGGCCUUUGGGUCGUAAAGCUCUGUCAGCAGGGAAGAACGGCCGUGCGGUUAAUACCCGUGCGGAUUGACGGUACCUGCAGAGGAAGCACCGGCUAACUCCGUGCCAGCAGCCGCGGUAAUA